rnacentral:rRNA from 1 species
UACGUAGGGGGCUAGCGUUGUCCGGAAUCAUUGGGCGUAAAGAGCGUGUAGGCGGCCCGGUAAGUCCGCUGUGAAAGUCGGGGGCUCAACCCUCGAAUGCCGGUGGAUACUGUCGGGCUAGAGUGCGGAAGGAGGCGAGUGGAAUUCCUGGUGUAGCGGUGGAAUGCGCAGAUAUCAGGAGGAACACCGGCGGUGUAGACGGCUUUCUGGACCGUAGCUGACGCUGGAGACACGAAAGCGUGGGUAGCAAACAGG